GACGGAGGGUGCUAGCGUUGUUCGGAAUGACUGGGCGUAAAGGGCGCGUAGGCGGCCGCUUGCGUCGGAUGUGAAAGCCCGGGGCUCAACCCCGGAACGGCAUCCGAUACGGGGCGGCUCGAGACCGAGAGAGGUGAGUGGAAUACCCAGUGUAGAGGUGAAAUUCGUAGAUAUUGGGUGGAACACCGGUGGCGAAGGCGACAUCCUGGACCGGUAUUGACGCUGAGGCGCGAAAGCCAGGGGAGCAAACGGG
rnacentral:rRNA from 1 species